UACGAAGGGGGCUAGCGUUGCUCGGAAUUACUGGGCGUAAAGGGCGCGUAGGCGGCGCAUUUAGUCAGGCGUGAAAGCCCUGGGCUCAACCUGGGGACUGCGCUUGAGACGGGUGUGCUGGAGGACGGAAGAGGGUCGCGGAAUUCCCAGUGUAGAGGUGAAAUUCGUAGAUAUUGGGAAGAACACCGGUGGCGAAGGCGGCGACCUGGUCCGUUACUGACGCUGAGGCGCGACAGCGUGGGGAGCAAACAGG
rnacentral:rRNA from 1 species